ensembl:lncRNA
CCCUGAAAGACUGGAGACAGAAGAGAAAGCAGUCCUACUAGAUUUGUGUCUACAAGCAGCACUAGAUCACAGAGAAACAUUCCAGAGAACUGUGAACACACUGCUGUCACUGUUCUCUGUGUAUCAAACUGAGAGAUAUGACAUCCUGCUGGAUCUGUACUCUCAUGUGAAGUACAAUAGGAAUCAAACAGCCAGGAGUGUCCUUCCAUCAUUGCAGCCACUUUACCAGUCAGCUCCUGCAGUCUGGUCCAUAGACCUCUCAGAGAGAAAGACCUCCCUCCUCCUAGAAGUGCUGAAACUCCAACCAGGGAAGAAACCAGUAGAGCUGAAGGGCUGGUCAGAUGAAGAGAGUGAAGUGAGGAGUUUCCUUCAGUGUCUGUCCUACAUCUCACAGCUGAGAUUUUCUCCACUGAAGGAUAACAUAAAUAGGAGAAAGAGAGACAAGACAUUCCUACUGAAUCUGUGUCUUCAAGCAGCUCUCCAUGAGAGAGGAACCAUACAAACAACUGUAGAGAAAGUGUUGUCGCUGUCUAAAGUAUAUCACAAUCAGAAAUGUGAUUUCCUGCUGGAUCUGAUCUCACAUGCGAAGGACUAUGAGACUCAAACAGGCAGGAUGGUCCUUCCAGCAUUACAGCCACUUUACCAGUCAGCUCCUGCAGUCUGGUCCAUAGACCUCUCAGAGAGAAAGGCCUCCCUCCUCCUAGAAGUGCUGAAACUCCAACCAGAGCAGAAACCAGUAGAGCUGAAGGGCUGGUCAGAUGAAGAGAGUGAAGUGAGGAGUUUCCUUCAGUGUCUGUCCUACAUCUCACAGCUGAGUUUUAUUCCUCCACAGGAUCAGAGAAGAUCCCCUGAAGAGAGGACAAGGAGAGAGAAGACAUUCCUACUGAAUCUGUGUCUUCAAGCAGUUCUCCAUGAGAGAGGAACCAUACAAACAACUGUAGAGAAAGUGGUGUCACUGUCUGAAGUAUAUCACAACCAGAAAUGUGAUUUCCUGCUGGAUCUGAUCUCACAUGUGAAGGACUAUGAGACUCAAACAGGCAGGAGUGUCCUUCCAGCAUUACAGCCAGUUUACCAGUCAGCUCCUGCAGUCUGGUCCAUAGACCUCUCAGAGAGAAAGGCCUCCCUCCUCCUAGAAGUGCUGAAACUCCAACCAGAGAAGAAACCAGUAGAGCUGAAGGGCUGGUCAGAUGAAGAGAGUGAAGUGAGGAGUUUCCUUCAGUGUCUGUCCCACAUCUCACAGCUGAGUUUCUAUACAGACUGGUCUGAUUCCUCAAAGCUGAUCAAGUUCCUGGUGGAUCUCCUGUCUCAAGCAGCAGAGUGGGAGGAGCAGACAGGAGAGAAGACACUGAAGCUGGUAUCAUCAGUGUGGACUUACAGCACCUUUCCUUAUCGCCAUGGAGACAAUUAUAAACAGAGUGAUUUCCUGUUGGAUCUGUACUCACAUGUGAAGGACUAUGAGACUCAAACAGGCAGGAGUGUCCUUCCAGCAUUACAGCCAGUUUACCAGUCAGCUCCUGCAGUCUGGUCCAUAGACCUCUCAGAGAGAAAGGCCUCCCUCCUCCUAGAAGUGCUGAAACUCCAACCAGAGAAGAAACCAGUAGAGCUGAAGGGCUGGUCAGAUGAAGAGAGUGAAGUGAGGAGUUUCCUUCAGUGUCUGUCCUACAUCUCACAGCUGAGUUUCCAUCCAUGGAGGUCUGAUCCCUCAAAGCAGAUCAAGUUCCUGGUGGAUCUCCUGUCUCAAGCAGCAGAGUGGGAGGAGCAGACAGGAGAGAAGACACUGAAGCUGGUAUCAUCAGUGUGUACUUACAGCACCUUUCCCUUCUGUGAAUGGGAUCAUGAUGUUGAGGUAUAUCAAUGUGAUUUCCUGUUGGAUCUGUACUCACAUGUGAAGGACUCUGAGACUCAAACAGGCAGGAGUGUCUUUCCAGCAUUACUGCCAGUUUACCAGUCAGCUCCUGCAGUCUGGUCCAUAGACCUCAGAAAGAGAAAGGCCUCCCUCCUCCUAGAAGUGCUGAAACUCCAACCAGGGAAGAAACCAGUAGAGCUGAAGGGCUGGUCAGAUGAAGAGAGUGAAGUGAGGAGUUUCCUUCAGUGUCUGUCCUACAUCUCACAGCUGAGAUUUCCUCUACUGAAGGAUAAUAUAGAGACAAGAAAGAGAGAGAAGACAUUCCUACUGAAUCUGUGUCUUCAAGCAGUCCUCCAUGAGAGAGGAACCAUACAAACAACUGUAGAGAAAGUGUUGUCGCUGUCUAAAGUAUAUCGCUUUCAGAAAUGUGAUUUCCUGCUGGAUCUGUACUCACAUGUGAAGGACUAUGAGACUCAAACAGGCAGGAGUUUCCUACCAGCAUUACAGCCAUCUCCUGCAGUCUGGUCCAUAGACCUCUCAGAGAGAAAGGCCUCCCUCCUCCUAGAAGUGCUGAAACUCCAACCAGAGAAGAAACCAGUUGAGCUGAAGGACUGGUCAGAUGAAGAGAGUGAAAUGAGGAGUUUCCUUCAGUGUCUGCCCUACAUCUCACAGCUUAGUUUCUGUCCACGGAGGUCUGAUCCCUCAGAGCAGAUCAAGUUCCUGGUGGAUCUCCUGUCUCAAGCAGCAGAGUGGGAGGAGCAGACAGGAGAGAAGACACUGAAGCUGGUAUCAUCAGUGUGUUCUUACAGCACCUUUCCUUUUCUCAAUGGAGACAAUUCUCAACAGAGUAAUUUCCUGCUGGAUCUGUACUCACAUGUGAAGGACUAUGAGACUCAAACAGGCAGGAGUGUCCUUCCAGCAUUACAGCCAGUUUACCAGUCAGCUCCUGCAGUCUGGUCCAUAGACCUCUCAGAGAGAAAGGCCUCCCUCCUCCUAAAAGUGCUGAAACUCCAACCAGAGAAGAAACCAGUAGAGCUGAGGGGCUGGUCAGAUGAAGAGAGUGAAGUGAGGAGUUUCCUUCAGUGUCUGUCCUAUAUCUCACAGCUGAGUUUUAUUCCUCCACAGGAUCAGAGAAGAUCCCCUGAAGAGAGGACAAGGAGAGAGAAGACAUUCCUACUGAAUCUGUGUCUUCAAGCAGUUCUCCAUGAGAGAGGAACCAUACAAACAACUGUAGAGAAAGUGUUGUCACUGUCUAAAGUAUAUCGCUUUCAGAAAUGUGAUUUCCUGCUGGAUCUGUACUCACAUGUGAAGGACUCUGAGACUCAAACAGGCAGGAGUUUCCUUCCAGCAUUACAGCCAGUUUACCAGUCAGCUCCUGCAGUCUGGUCCAUAGACCACAGAAAGAGAAAGGCCUCCCUUCUCCUAGAAGUGCUGAAACUCCAACCAGAGAAGAAACCAGUAGAGCUGAAGGGCUGGUCAGAUGAAGAGAGUGAAAUGAGGAGUUUCCUUCAGUGUCUGUCCUACAUCUCACAGCUGAGUUUCUAUACAGACUGGUCUGAUCCCUCAAAGCAGAUCAAGUUCCUGGUGGAUCUCCUGUCUCAAGCAGCAGAGUGGGAGGAGCAGACAGGAGAGAAGACACUGAAGCUGGUAUCAUCAGUGUGGACUUACAGCACCUUUCCUUUUCUCAGUGGAGACAAUUAUAAACAGAGUGAUUUCCUGCUGGAUCUGUACUCACAUGUGAAGGACUAUGAGACUCAAACAGGCAGGAGUGUCCUUCCAGCAUUACAGCCAGUUUACCAGUCAGCUCCUGCAGUCUGGUCCAUAGACCUCUCAGAGAGAAAGGCCUCCCUCCUCCUAGAAGUGCUGAAACUCCAACCAGAGAAGAAACCAUUAGAGCUGAAGGGCUGGUCAGAUGAAGAGAGUGAAGUGAGGAGUUUCCUUCAGUGUCUGUCCUACAUCUCACAGCUGAGUUUUACUCCUUCACAGGAUCAGAGAAGAUCCCCUGAAGAGAGGAUAAGGAGAGAGAAGACAUUCCUACUGAAUCUGUGUCUUCAAGCAGUCCUCCAUGAGAGAGGAACCAUACAAACAACUGUAGAGAAAGUGGUGUCACUGUCUGAAGUAUAUCACAAUCAGAAAUGUGAUUUCCUGCUGGAUCUGUACUCACAUGUGAAGGACUAUGAGACUCAAACAGGCAGGAGUUUCCUUCCAGCAUUACAGCCAGUUUACCAGUCAGCUCCUGCAGUCUGGUCCAUAGACCUCUCAGAGAGAAAGGCCUCCCUUCUCCUAGAAGUGCUGAAACUCCAACCAGAGAAGAAACCAGUAGAGCUGAAGGGCUGGUCAGAUGAAGAGAGUGAAAUGAGGAGUUUCCUUCAGUGUCUGUCCUACAUCUCACAGCUGAGUUUCUGUCCACGGAGGUCUGAUUCCUCAAAGCAGAUCAAGUUCCUGGUGGAUCUCCUGUCUCAAGCAGCAGAGUGGGAGGAGCAGACAGGAGAGAAGACACUGAAGCUGGUAUCAUCAGUGUGGACUUACAGCACCUUUCCCUUCUGUGAUGAUGAUGAUGAUGAUGAUGAUGAUGAUGGUGACGAUAAUAAGGAAUAUCAAUGUGAUUUCCUGCUGGAUCUGUACUCACAUGUGAAGGACUCUGAGACUCAAACAGGCAGGAGUUUCCUACCAGCAUUACAGCCAGUUUACCAGUCAGCUCCUGCAGUCUGGUCCAUAGACCUCUCAGAGAGAAAGGCCUCCCUCCUCCUAGAAGUGCUGAAACUCCAACCAGACAAAAAACCAGUAGAGCUGAAGGACUGGUCAGAUGAAGAGAGUGAAGUGAGGAGUUUCCUUCAGUGUCUGCCCUACAUCUCACAGCUGAGGUGAGUCUGAACAUGUGGUGGUUAGUGAUCAUGUGAUGCUAGUGGCUAUUAUCUUGUAGAAACAUUUGACAUAUUAAACUUCAAGUGUUGGUAAACCUUGUAGCAGUAUUGUUAGAGAGGGGUAAAGGUAGAGAUUUGUUGGGACGUCAGACAGGUAUUAACCCUGCAGAAAGGAAAAGAGUAGGAUAGAGAGAGACCCACUACCAGACACACACACAUCAGCAGAAGAGACUGUCUAGAGUGUAGCCUGUUAGCCAGAUAGCCAGUGGAGAGAAAAGAUAAGACUCAUCAUAUAAAACACCCAUCACAGCACAGGGGGAACCCCAC